UACGUAGGGUGCGAGCGUUGUCCGGAAUUAUUGGGCGUAAAGGGCGCGUAGGCGGCCAUUCAAGUGACGGGUGAAAGCCCUCGGCUUAACCGAGGAACUGCCUGUCAGACUGGAUGGCUUGAGACCGGGAGAGGUGAGUGGAAUUCCCAGUGUAGCGGUGAAAUGCGUAGAUAUUGGGAGGAACACCAGAGGCGAAGGCGGCGCACUGGACAGCAACUGACACUCAACUGCGAAAGCGUGGGGGAGCGAACAGG
rnacentral:rRNA from 1 species